rnacentral:rRNA from 1 species
UGGGGAAUAUUGCACAAUGGGCGCAAGCCUGAUGCAGCCAUGCCGCGUGUGUGAAGAAGGCCUUCGGGUUGUAAAGCACUUUCAGCGGGGAGGAAGGCGAUAAGGUUAAUAACCUUGUCGAUUGACGUUACCCGCAGAAGAAGCACCGGCUAACUCCGUGCCAGCAGCCGCGGUAAUACGGAGGGUGCAAGCGUUAAUCGGAAUUACUGGGCGUAAAGCGCACGCAGGCGGUCUGUCAAGUCGGAUGUGAAAUCCCCGGGCUUAACCUGGGAACUGCAUUUGAAACUGGCAGGCUAGAGUCUUGUAGAGGGGGGUAGAAUUCCAGGUGUAGCGGUGAAAUGCGUAGAGAUCUGGAGGAAUACCGGUGGCGAAGGCGGCCCCCUGGACAAAGACUGACGCUCAGGUGCGAAAGCGUGGGGAGCAAACAGG